rnacentral:rRNA from 1 species
AGCGAACGCUGGCGGCAGGCCUAGCACAUGCAAGUCGAACGAAGUCUUCGGACUUAGUGGCGGACGGGUGAGUAACACGUGGGGACGUGCCUUUAGGUUCGGAAUAACUCAGGGAAACUUGUGAUAAUACCGAAUGUGCUCUUCGGGGGAAGGAUUUAUCGCCUUUAGAGCGGCCCGCGUCUGAUUAGCUAGUUGGUGAGGUAAAGGCUCACCAAGGCGACGAUCAGUAGCUGGUCUGAGAGGAUGAUCAGCCACAUUGGGACUGAGACACGGCACAAACUCCUACGGGAGGCAGCAGUGGGGAAUCUUGCGCAAUGGGCGAAAGCCUGACGCAGCCAUGCCGCGUGAAUGAUGAAGGUCUUAGGAUUGUAAAAUUCUUUCACCGGGGACGAUAAUGACGGUACCCGGAGAAGAAGCCCCGGCUAACUUCGUGCCAGCCGCCGCUGUAAUAC